GCUACGGCCAUAUCAGCCUGGGUACGCCUGAUCUCGUCUGAUCUCAGAAGCUAAGCAGGGUCGUGCCGGUUAGUACUUGGAUGGGAGACCGCCUGGGAAUACCAGGUGCUGUAAGCA
rnacentral:rRNA from 1 species